rnacentral:rRNA from 1 species
AGUGAACGCUGGCGGUAGGCCUAACACAUGCAAGUCGAACGGCAGCACAGUAAGAGCUUGCUCUUACGGGUGGCGAGUGGCGGACGUGUGAGGAAUACAUCGGGCUCUACUUUUUCGUGGGGGAUAACGUAGGGAAACUUACGCUAAUACCGCAUACGACCUACGGGUGAAAGCAGGGGAUCUUCGGACCUUGCGCGAUUGAAUGAGCCGGUGUCGGAUUAGCUAGUUGGCGGGGUAAAGGCCCACCAAGGCGGCGAUCCGUAGCUGGUCUGAGAGGAUGGGUAGCCGGCCUGGGAGUGAGACAGGGUCCAUAGGGCCUGGGGGAGGGGCAAGAGGGAAAAGUGGGGCAGGGGUGGGAAACUUUGCCCACCAGGCCGAGGCGGUGAAGAAGGACUUCGGGUUGUAAAUCACUGUUGUUGGGAAAGAAAAGCAGCAGGUUAAUACCCCGCUGUUCUGACGGUACCCAAAUAAUAAGCACCGGCUAACUUCGUGC